UACGUAGGGCGCAAGCGUUGUCCGGAAUUAUUGGGCGUAAAGGGCUCGUAGGCGGUCUGUCGCGUCGGCUGUGAAAACCCGGAGCUCAACUCCGGGCCUGCAGUCGAUACGGGCAAACUAGAGUACUGCAGGGGAGACUGGAAUUCCUGGUGUAGCGGUGAAAUGCGCAGAUAUCAGGAGGAACACCGGUGGCGAAGGCGGGUCUCUGGGCAGUAACUGACGCUGAGGAGCGAAAGCGUGGGGAGCGAACAGG
rnacentral:rRNA from 1 species